rnacentral:rRNA from 1 species
AGACGUAGGGGGCGAGCGUUGCUCGGAAUCACUGGGCUUAAAGGGCGCGUAGGCGGUUAUGCAAGUCCAGGGUAGAAGGCGGAGGCUCAACCUCCGUAAUGCCUUGGAGACUGCAUAACUUGAGUAAGCGAGGGGAGGGCGGAAUUCCCGGUGUAGCGGUGAAAUGCGUAGAUAUCGGGAGGAAGGCCUGUGGCGAAGGCGGCCCUCUGGCGCUUAACUGACGCUGAGGCGCGAAAGCGUGGGGAGCAAACAGGAUUAGAAACCCUAGUAGUCC